rnacentral:rRNA from 1 species
GUGGCCAACAGGCCCUUGUGGUGCUGGGGACUCACGGGAAACCGCCGGGGUCAACUCGGAGGAAGGUGGGGACAACGUCAAGUCAUCAUGCCCCUUAUGUCUUGGGCUGCACACGUGCUACAAUGGCCGGUACAAUGAGCUGCGAUACCGCGAGGUGGAGCGAAUCUCAAAAAGCCGGUCUCAGUUCGGAUUGGGGUCUGCAACUCGACCCCAUGAAGUCGGAGUCGCUAUUAAUCGCAGAUCAGCAUUGCUGCGGUGAAUACGUUCCCGGGCCUUGUACACACCGCCCGUCACGUCGCGAAAGUCGGUAACACCCGANGCCGGUGGCCCAACCCCUUGUGGGAGGGAGCUGUCGAAGGUGGGACUGGCUAAUUGGGGACCAAGUCG